CUCAGUAUUGAAGGCUGUCAAAAACUGUUCCCAAGUGACCAGAGUGGGCAGAGUAGCCUACUUGAGUUGCCACCAACGUCCUGCCUCACCUAUGAGCAUAUACAUGGCAAUGACCACAUUCUGUUUAGAAAUCAUUGCAAGUGUUGCAAAUGCUUUCUCUGUCUCUGCCAACUAGUACUCAGUUUCUUCAAAAGUGGAUGCGCUUGCAAAAAUAUAUGAGUAAAGUCUCUUGUACCUCUUGAUGUAGCGCGGGUCCAUUGUAGGCGGAGCUGGGUCCUGCU
rnacentral:lncRNA from 1 species